UACGGAGGGAGCUAGCGUUGCUCGGAAUCACUGGGCGUAAAGCGCACGUAGGCGGCUUCUUAAGUCAGGGGUGAAAUCCUGGAGCUCAACUCCAGAACUGCCUUUGAGACUGAGUGGCUUGAGUACGAGAGAGGUGAGUGGAAUUCCCAAUGUAGAGGUGAAAUUCGUAGAUAUUGGGAAGAACACCGGUGGCGAAGGCGGCUCACUGGCUCGUAACUGACGCUCAUGCACGACAGCGUGGGGAUCAAACAGG
rnacentral:rRNA from 1 species